rnacentral:rRNA from 1 species
CUGGCGGCGAGUGGCGAACGGGUGAGUAAUACAUCGGAACGUGCCCAAUCGUGGGGGAUAACGCAGCGAAAGCUGUGCUAAUACCGCAUACGAUCUACGGAUGAAAGCAGGGGAUCGCAAGACCUUGCGCGAAUGGAGCGGCCGAUGGCAGAUUAGGUAGUUGGUGAGGUAAAGGCUCACCAAGCCUUCGAUCUGUAGCUGGUCUGAGAGGACGACCAGCCACACUGGGACUGAGACACGGCCCAGACUCCUACGGGAGGCAGCAGUGGGGAAUUUUGGACAAUGGGCGAAAGCCUGAUCCAGCCAUGCCGCGUGCAGGAUGAAGGCCUUCGGGUUGUAAACUGCUUUUGUACGGAACGAAACGGUCUUUUCUAAUACAGAAGGCUAAUGACGGUACCGUAAGAAUAAGCACCGGCUAACUACGUGCCAGCAGCCGCGGUAAUACGUAGGGUGCAAGCGUUAAUCGGAAUUACUGGGCGUAAAGCGUGCGCAGGCGGUUAUGUAAGACAGUUGUGAAAUCCCCGGGCUCAACCUGGGAACUGCAUCUGUGACUGCAUAGCUAGAGUACGGUAGAGGGGGAUGGAAUUCCGCGUGUAGCAGUGAAAUGCGUAGAUAUGCGGAGGAACACCGAUGGCGAAGGCAAUCCCCUGGACCUGUACUGACGCUCAUGCACGAAAGCGUGGGGAGCAAACA